CUCAACACUUGGCUGUGCCAGAUGACUGCGGUCCCUGUGAGAAACGAGCCCUGCACCCCCAGCCCCAUGCAGGGUCCUGCAGAGCCAGGGAGGGGAACACCAGGCUGGCUUCAGGCAGGUGGGGAGAAGCCGGAGGCCGCGGGGACUGCCCCGCGCAGCAGCAUCCUGGGACUGGCCAGCACUGGACCAGAAAUAGUUAUGCAAGGCGGAAAGGAAAAGAAAGCAAGUUCACAUCGCACCCAAGGAGCGGAGCAGGCUGGAGACAAGGGAAGCAGCUUCUCGUCACCUGCAGCACCAUGUUUCCACAGAACAAAAACCGUGAUGUUAUGAAUGAAAGGGCCUGGAAACACUGAAAAAUCACUUGAGAAGAAAAAUUAUGCCAAUGAGUAAAUCAUCCAAUGAUUAAAGCAGCAACAGAUCCUGGAGUCAAGGCAGUUUUGGUUUAAAAAAGCCCAAAGGAUUUCAGCUAUGCUUCCUAGGGCAGGGCAUAAAAUGCAGCAGCUGUUGAAAGUCACGCUCCGGUGCUCCACCUGCCCCAUGUGCUGAAUUCAAAAGCAGGCAAUAAAACUCUUAACUAACAGGGCAAGAAAGGUGUAAAACAGGGGACCAGAGACCUCCGUGCCUGAAGGAAAAGUCCAAGAGGGGUGAACGGCUGUUUUACACCAGCGGCUGCCUGACUCUACAAGCCUUCAUCUUCCCCUACACCUACUUCCACUGAAUGCGGCGUGUGGGAAGAAAUCACAUUUUGGGAGCUCUUUGGAAGCAGAGAUUCCAGGCGCGCCGUUGCUAACUCUCACCUAAGAGCUUGCGGCAGGUUUUGCCUCUGGGAGCUUGUGGCCCAAACCAGUUGUUGAGCAUCCUCAGCUGAUUCUCCUGGCGAAGAUGAAGAAGGAAGCAAAGAAGAUGCAUGAUGGAGAGGUGGCACCAGGUUCUGCCCCGUGGGAGCCCUACACCCUGCACAGACCUCACCUCUCGGGGAAAGGCACCUGCAAGUUGGCACCCAUUGCUCCUGGUUUUUAGCUGGGAUAGAGUUAAUUUUCACAAGAAGCCAGGAGGGGACACAGCCAGGACAGCUGACCCACACUAGCCAAAGGGAUAUUCCAUAUCAUAUGAUGUCAUGCUCUGGAUAUAAGGGGGGGAGCAGGCUGGGGAGGAGGGGUCACUGCUCAGGGACAGGCUGGGCUUUGGGUUCCGGGUAGUGAGCAAAUUGCCUUGUGUAUCACCCACUUUGUAUAUUCUUUUCUUCAUGGUGGUGUUAUUUUUCUCUCCCUUUGCUGUCCCAGUAAACUGCCCUUAUCCCAACCCACCAGUUUUACCUUUUUCUUCUGAUUCUCCUCCCCAUCCCACUGGAUGGUUGGAGGAGUGAGUGAGUGAGUGGCCAUGCGGUGCUCAGCUGCUGGCAGUGGCUAAACCAUGACAGCAAGCCAGGAGGGAGGGAAGGGGUGGGGAGAUGCUGUAGACCCCGUGCCAAAACAGCACUUUCAACAGCUCCUGAGAGGUGGGAACUGGCAUCGCUGCUGGGAUCGAUGUGGGAGUGCUGCCCUGGCCCUUGGGGUUUAACUGGAGCUGGGCACCAAAAUGAACCUGAGGAUCUGGCUCUUGGGUCCUCCUGAGGCUUUUUUUGGACCCUUGGCUGGUGGUUUGCUGUUGCUCCAGCACAUUCCUGUUCCCUUACUCCUUCCCCAGCAGCCCCUUUGCAGAAGAUCAUGCUGGUGUCCCAGGAGAGCUGCCAGUGCCAGCUGCCUCUAUAAAUACUCCUGCUAUAAAUUCAGAGAGCUCGGUCCCUGGCAGGCACAGCCCUGCCUCCAUCACCACGUUGCAGGGUGCCGGGCUGGAAACUCGCAGGCGGUGAGCACUGCCACAAGAGAAACAGCUAUUAUCUUGUUAGAAGACUUAACUUUUGAUUUUUCAAUUGAUUAAUUAAA